AUGGAGUAUAUGGCAGAGAAGAUAGAGAAAGCAAAGAAGCACACUGUGAGACUCGUAGGUAAUCAGGAAAGGAGGUAUGAGGUUCAGCUACCUACCGAUGGUUUUGGUUCUGCGAAUGAGGUGAAGACGCAUCAGGUAAAAAUUGGAACGGAAUUUUAUCCAAUGUGUGAGUGUACAUGCAACAAACCAAAGUUGUUGCACCUGCCUUGCUCACAUGUGUUGGCUGCCUGUGGCCAGGUUGAGUUGGAUGACGUCUCCUUUGUGUCGCCAUACUACUUAAAAGAGGUUGUACUGAACACAUGGACCGGUGAGAUGAUAGGGUUUAGAGUCGUUGGCAAUUUCAACAAGGUUAACGACGGUGAGAGAGUAUACAUUCCGGAUCCAGAACUUCGGCAAACAAGCAGGGGCGACGUAAGGCCCGUCGAAUCCGAAAUGAUAUGGACCAAUCUGAAGCUGGUGGAGCAACCAGACAAUGUUUGCUAUGCGUGGCUUAUGGGCAUAGGAUGA
rnacentral:rRNA from 1 species